GUCCCCAUCGUCUAGCGGUCAGGACAUCGCCCUUUCAAGGCGACGACACGGGUUCGAGUCCCGUUGGGGGCACCA
rnacentral:tRNA from 1 species